rnacentral:lncRNA from 1 species
CCAUCGAUCCACCAAAACUCCCGUAGACUACAAGAAACGCUGAAACAAUGGAUGCCGGUUCACCGUGGAUCGCAAGAAAUGCCCUGAAAAUGGGUGCUCGGUCCAUGCGCCCUUCGUGGACCGUGAUAAUGCGGUGAGCCACAAAACGCCGUGCAUGACUGCUUUGCGUGCUCGUGUUGGUCUGGGCCGGACUUGGCCCGGCUAUGUGUCUGGGUCCGGGCUUCACAUGGGCUUCAUCCUAUCAACCUCCUCCAACAGCCACUAGUGCUGGUGCCAGAGGAUGAGGAAAGGGGGCUGAGUGCUAUUUGGGCUUGGAGGAGGUCUAUGGUGGUCCAGUC